rnacentral:rRNA from 1 species
UACGUAGGUGGCAAGCGUUGUCCGGAUUUACUGGGCGUAAAGAGCGCGCAGGCGGUCGUUCAAGUCGCGUGUGAAAGCCCCCGGCUCAACUGGGGAGGGUCACGCGAUACUGAUCGACUCGAAGGCAGGAGAGGGAAGUGGAAUUCCCGGUGUAGUGGUGAAAUGCGUAGAUAUCGGGAGGAACACCAGUGGCGAAGGCGACUCACUGGGGAUUUUCUGACGCUGAGGGACGAAAGCCAGGGGAGCGAACGGG